CCAUAUCUCUCUCUCUCUAGGUUUCAUUCAUGGUGUUGGUGGUGCUCUAGCAUCUGCUGAAGCUGCCAGCAUGAUCUAAACCUCCCUCCUAGUUGAGGAAAGAUCAGAUCAUGUGGUAGCUUCAUCUGAUACUACUUGCGCUUUUAUUUACACACAUAAUAUAAACCCUAGUUUUUCAACAACCUAGCUUUACCUUUUUUUCUUUGUCUUUCCCCUACCUAACCUCUCUCUCUAUAUAUAUACACACACACACACACACAUAUAUCUAUAGCUAGCCUCGCUGAAAAAGCACAGAAUCUGAGUGAAUAAUGCAAGCUUGAGAUGUUGUCUCAUCUUUAGGUACUAUUAAUGCUGCUGCAUCUUCAUCUGUAUUUUCUCUUGGCCUCAUUUGGAUCAUCACUCUGCCCACUGUCCCCACACUCACAUGACUAUUCCUUCCAUCCAGACACCUCGUGAUCUUUAUAUCCAGUUUCUUGUUUUAUAUGGUUGAUUAAUUGUGAUCAAUAUUGAUUAUUGAGUCUCAUAUGUAAACUACAUAAAUUCAUUGAACUAUUAUAUAUUGAAUUUUUUUUUAUAAUAUACUGUAUAACAUUAAUGGUAUAUGUCACAGAUUAAUUAAACUUUGUUCAA